AGUGAACGCUGGCGGUAGGCCUAACACAUGCAAGUCGAACGGCAGCACAGUAAGAGCUCGCUCUUACGGGUGGCGAGUGGCGGACGGGUGAGGAAUACAUCGGAAUCUACUUUUUCGUGGGGGAUAACGUAGGGAAACUUACGCUAAUACCGCAUACGACCUACGGGUGAAAGCAGGGGAUCUUCGGACCUUGCGCGAUUGAAUGAGCCGAUGUCGGAUUAGCUAGUUGGCGGGGUAAAGGCCCACCAAGGCGACGAUCCGUAGCUGGUCUGAGAGGAUGAUUCGGCCACACGGAACCUGAGCAACGUUCCGACCCCCUACGGAGGCCGGCGUGGGGAAUUUUUGACCAUGGGCGGAAGCCCUGUCCCGCCCUAACGGGUGGGUGAAGAAGGGCUUUCGGUUUGAAAGGCCCUUUGUUGGGAAAGAAAAGCAGCAGGUUAAUACCCCGCUGUUCUGACGGUACCCAAAGAAUAAGCACCGGCUAACUUCGUG
rnacentral:rRNA from 1 species